CCCCUCUCCCCGCCGCCCAGAUCUCCCGCCUGGGCAAACUACCCCUGCCCCCGCUCCCCUUCCUGUCCCGCCUCCUCACCCUCACCCCAGACAUGCAGGCUGACGAGCCCCACAUUUGACAGACCGACACACAUCAGUGCGCUGCUGCACUGCCGGGAGGACCACCACGACCACCCCCACGCGCCCGCCUCACACCUCCACCCCGCCACUGGAGGCUCGAUUACCCAGAUUGCCCAUCUGCCUUGGGGGUUAUGGUUUCUUGCCCUCAGCUUUGUGAGGAGGGGCUGCUGUGGACGCCGGGACCCUGAGCGUCCCACGAGAACCGGCCUGAGGAGCUAAUGAACAGACCGACCAAGCGCGCUGGCUCACAGCGGUUUGUUGUGCUGGUGAAAUGACACAGUCCAGGACACUGAACGGGGGCUCCUGGAACAGACCUGAAGUCACUCCUUCCUACCCUGACCGGGUCUUUAAAAUCCAUUUGGAGGAGGAGGUUCCCUCCCGACUCCUGCCUAUACAGUUGGGGCAGUUCUAUCACAUUUCGGCUCAAACGUAGAGAAUUUCAAAGUUCUAUCGUUAUAUCAAGAUACAUACCCAGUGUCAACUCAGUCACUUUAAGUGUCCAGUGCUAAGAAAUGGUCAAAACUGCAACCUGAUUUAAAGUGUUUUCCCUCGUCCAGCCGGGCCGAGGCCAGGGACCAGACUGGGAAAAAGGAGAAGUUUGCCUUCUUCCUCUUCCUCGAGCAGCCACCCCACCACAAACUUGCCAACUGGGCUUUGCCACCUAUCACAUCGGGACAGCCUCUGGCAGCUAGGAUGCCCAGGCCCGAGCCACCGCACCGGCCUCAGUGCCUCAGGGAAGCGGGACGCAGACUCACUGCCCCGUGUGGAGGCGGCUCUCACCACGCGGAUGCGCACACACACGCCUCGGGUGGCGUGUACCCACCCAUCCCAGGCUCACCUGACCGCUGUGAACAAGGGGGGCAGACCCGAGAGCACUCCCCUUCCCUCCGUCCCUUGCCCCCACCCCGCCCCGAUUUCCCUUCUGCACCCACGUGUAGAAUUGGCAGGUCACUUGCUAAUCCUGUUUAAUUUUUUUACGAACCACAGGGUUCUUCAGUGACUGCACUAGCUUACAUUCCCACCGCUGAGACUCAGGGUCCUAAUUUCUCCACAUUCUUCCAAAUAUCUGCUCACCUGAUUCGAGCAUUUCUGCUUCUGCCAUCCAUGUUUCUCUCUCUUAUGUAGCUUCCUGUCCCUGUUACAUGUUUUCUCUCCUUUCUAGGCACGGUCUGUCUAAGUACUGGUCCCUCUGUCCCACUGCCCCUGUUUAUUCAGUCUGGAAGGACAUCUGGGGACAGGGGACAGGAGACUGGACUCCCCCAAGCGCUCACAGAGCCACCACCUCAGUCAGGACGCUCAGGCACCAUCACUACAGGAAGCUCCUUCGCCACACCGGUGCGGUCACACCCAGCCCAUCCCCCUGCCCCGGAGACCACUCCCAGGUCCUCCACUCCCGCAACUGUCAUCUCAGGACUGUUUACAGGGACUCAGGGAGUCAGUGUCUCGUCGUGAUUGUCUUUUACUCAGCACACCACCCAGAUGUGCACCCGGGUCUCUGCCUGUAUCAACAGUCCCUCCUCUUUGUUUCUGAGUAGAACUGAGUUAACAUCCACAUGUGGAGUCUUUCUGUUGCUGACUUUUAUGCUCUGACUUCACUUCCUUUACAUUUGUCAAGGUCUGUUUUGUGGCCCAGGAUCCACACGGUCUACUCUGGCACGCCCCCGGGCACCUGUGAACAGCGUUCACUAUGUGCCUAUUGGGUGGAGGGUUCCAUGAAUGUCCACUGAUCCCUCCGAUCGACAGUGUUCUAUGUCCUUUCCGAAUGCCCAGUUGUCCCAGCAGUGGUGAGGAGUGGGAGCUGAGGCCCCACCUGAAACUGGGGCGUUUGUCUCUCUCACUGCAGCUCUGCCAGUGUUUGCUCUGUGUAAAAGAUCUGCUUGGGUCGUAAACAUUUGCGAUUGCUAUG